rnacentral:rRNA from 1 species
AACGCUGGCGGCGUGCCUAACACAUGCAAGUCGAGCGGGGUAGCCGGAAGGUGUAGCGAUACAGCGGAGGGGUACCUAGCGGCGAACGGGUGAGUAACGCGUGGGCAAUCUGGCCCCGGGGGCGGGAUAACAGACCGAAAGGCCUGCUAAUACCGCAUGAAGCCGUCCUAUCGCAUGAUAAGACGGUAAAAGGGGAAACCCGCCUGGGGAGGAGCCCGCGUCCCAUUAGCUAGUUGGUGGUGUAAAGGACCACCAAGGCGAUGAUGGGUAGCCGGCCUGAGAGGGUGAACGGCCACAUUGGGACUGAGACACGGCCCAGACUCCUACGGGGGGCAGCAGUGAGGGAUUUUCGGCAAUGGGCGAAAGCCUGACCGAGCGACGCCGCGUGGGCGAAGAAGGCCUUCGGGUCGUAAAGCUCUGUCUAGGGGGAAGAGGAAGGACGGUACCUCUGGAGGAAGCCACGGCUAACUACGUG